AUGGGAUAUUCAAGCUAGUUGUCAUCCCUUCAGCCAAUUGAACAUUGCUCCUCAACUUGGUUUGUAGAGGAUCAGCUGCUGAUUUUAUGAUAUUCAUGUAAACUUAGGCCAACAAAGACAUCGUAUAUUAGACUCCCUUUUCUCCGAGAAAUUAUAGCCUACAUGGCGUGCACCAUUUGGCCACGUGACCGUGCACGCCAAUUAUCACUGCUCAUUUCUAUGGGCCCCAUUUAUCAAGCAUUCAUCUCGGUCCAAUACUAUAGGAACAAACGAUUGUGAUUGGCAGUGUGCAUGGCCAUAUAGUGCACACCAUAUAAGAUAUAAUUUCUCCUUUUCUCUGACCUCCCUGCCGAC
rnacentral:lncRNA from 1 species